rnacentral:rRNA from 1 species
GAUGAACGCUGGCGGCGUGCCUAAUACAUGCAAGUCGAGCGAACAGAUAAGGAGCUUGCUCCUUUGACGUUAGCGGCGGACGGGUGAGUAACACGUGGGUAACCUACCUAUAAGACUGGAAUAACUCCGGGAAACCGGGGCUAAUGCAGGAUAACAUGUUGAACCGCAUGGUUCUACAGUGAAAGGCGGCUUUGCUGUCACUUAUAGAUGGACCCGCGCCGUAUUAGCUAGUUGGUGAGGUAACGGCUCACCAAGGCAACGAUACGUAGCCGACCUGAGAGGGUGAUCGGCCACACUGGAACUGAGACACGGUCCAGACUCCUACGGGAGGCAGCAGUAGGGAAUCUUCCGCAAUGGGCGAAAGCCUGACGGAGCAACGCCGCGUGAGUGAUGAAGGUCUUCGGAUCGUAAAACUCUGUUAUUAGGGAAGAACAAAUGCGUAAGUAACUGUGCGCGUCUUGACGGUACCUAAUCAGAAAGCCACGGCUAACUAUGUG